UACGUAGGGGGCGAGCGUUGUCCGGAUUUACUGGGCGUAAAGCGCGUGUAGGCGGUCCCUUAAGUCCGGGGUGAAAGGCGGAGGCUCAACCUCCGAGCUGCGCCGGAAACUGGGGGUCUUGAAUGUCGGAGAGGGGCGUGGAAUUCCUGGUGUAGCGGUGAAAUGCGUAGAGAUCAGGAGGAACACCGGUGGCGAAGGCGGCGCCCUGGCCGAACAUUGACGCUGAGACGCGAAAGCGCGGGGAGCGAACGGG
rnacentral:rRNA from 2 species